rnacentral:rRNA from 1 species
UACGUAGGUGGCGAGCGUUGUCCGGAAUUACUGGGCGUAAAGAGCUCGUAGGUGGUUUGUCGCGUUGUUCGUGAAAACUCACAACUCAAUUGUGGGCGUGCGGGCGAUACGGGCAGACUGGAGUACUGCAGGGGAGACUGGAAUUCCUGGUGUAGCGGUGGAAUGCGCAGAUAUCAGGAGGAACACCGGUGGCGAAGGCGGGUCUCUGGGCAGUAACUGACGCUGAGGCACGAAGGUCAGGGGAGCAAACGGG